rnacentral:rRNA from 1 species
GGAUCAUUAGCGAAGCUCGGAACGUCGUGUUCGGUACUGAUGCUGGCAGGCAACUGCAUGUGCUCGUCUGGAUGCGCGUCCCUUCACUAUCCCACCCCACUGUGAACCAAGCGUUGUGGACCGAAGAGAGAUCGGAGGUCUGCGCGCACAUUUCAACAUACCCCAAUGAAGUAUUCAGAAUGUACCUUGCGUUAACUCGCACAAAUACAACUUUCAACAACGGAUCUCUUGGCUCUCGCAUCGAUGAAGAACGCAGCGAAAUGCGAUAAGUAAUGUGAAUUGCAGAAUUCAGUGAAUCAUCGAAUCUUUGAACGCACCUUGCGCCCCUUGGCAUUCCGAGGGGCACGCCUGUUCGAGUGUCGUGAACUCCUCCACUCCUUACCUUUUUCGAAGGGUACGGGGCUGGGAUUUGGGAGCUUGCGGGUCCCUGGCCGAUCCGCUCUCCUUGAAUGCAUUAGCAGAGCCCUCGCGGCCUUGGUGUGAUAGACAUCUACGCCUCGGUGCAGCGCAUGAAUGGGCUAAGCUUCCAACCGUCUCGCAAGGGACAACGACUACCAACUUGACCUCGAAUCAGGCGGGACUACCCGCUGAACUUAAGCAUA